GAUGAACGCUGGCGGCGUGCCUAAUACAUGCAAGUCGAGCGAAAGGACCAGAAGCUUGCUUCUCUGAUGUUAUCGGCGGACGGGUCAGUCACUCGUGGAUAAACUACCUAUCCGACUGGGAUAACAUCGCCAAACCAUAGCUAAUACCGGAUAAUAUUUUGCCCCGCAUGGUUCACGAGUGAAAGUCGCUCUUUCUUUCGCUUAUAGAUGGCUACGCCCUGCAUUAGCUAGUUGGUAAGGUAACGGCUUACCCACGCAACGAUGCAUAGCCGACCUGAGAGGGACAUUGGACACACUGGCACUGAGAAUCGGCCCAGACUCCUACACGGGGCCGCGGUAGGGAAUCUUCCGGGAUGGGGCAGUGCCUGACAGUGGAACGCGGCGUGAGGGAUGAAGGACUACGGAUGGGAGAACGCUGUAGGUAGUAAGGAUCAUAAGUGCAAUUAACUGUGCAGAUAUUGACAGUACCUAGUGAGAAAGCCACGGCUAACUACGUG
rnacentral:rRNA from 1 species